CGAUCGGUAGACGCUACGGACUUGAAAAUCCGUUGGUUUUAUUGACCGUGAGGGUUCAAGUCCCUCUACCCCCA
rnacentral:tRNA from 1 species